GGAUGAGCUGACUGGCCAGUCAGGUGUCUUCUUCCUCACUCACUAUUCUAGCUGCACCCUUCCCAAUGUUUUCCACUUGGUUGAUGAGGUCUACCAUCCCAAGCAGAGAAGGACCUGCUUUCAGUAAUGGUUCAUGAAUAAGUAGCUGUAGGUCUCAAAAUACUUGAUUUAACUGAUGACCAAGGAAAAUCAAGUAAAAACCACAGUGGGAUGCCAGUUCCCUGCCCCCUACUAAAAUAGCUUUU
rnacentral:snRNA from 1 species